CUUUCCGCUCCAACGCACGGAGGGUGAGGUCGGUACGCGGUGGUGGCGUCACGGCGCCAGCUCCUCCCGACGCCGAGGUGGGUUCCGGGAGACCCGCGGGUCUGGCUGCGAGAGAUUGGGUAACUCAAGGCGUCCCUGGAGUACACUGAGGAUAAGUGUUUGAGAAAUGCUGUCUGAAGGAAUGAAGUCAGUCUAUGACAACGUCUCUCUGCCGUGAAUCAUUCCUGCAGAUGAAAAAGUGUGACUUGGCAGCUGGAGCCGGCGCACGUGCAGGAGCCACCAGUGGUGCAGGAGCAGUUGGGGUCCAUUUCAAGCCGCGGUAAGGCUGGAGAUCUCAAGCGAUAAUGGAGAGACAGCAAGGCGCACGUGGACGGCGUGUUCACCAAUUACCAAACUUUUUGACCUGAGCAACUAGAAGAAUGGAGUUGCCAUUAUUUGACACAAAGAAGACUGCAGGAGGGACAGGUUUGAGUAGAAAUAUGAAGAGCUCACCCAAGUGGAUGUGAGACAGGAUCUCACUCUGUCACCCAGGCUGGAGUGCACUGG
rnacentral:lncRNA from 1 species